rnacentral:misc_RNA from 1 species
AGACUUCUCUCAUCUUCUCCUACGUUCUGAAAUCUUUUUCUCACUUCACACUCAGAUUCAUACACCCAUUUACAUUUCUUAAUCAAAUACCCAUUUCCCUAAAAUGGAUAGAGACUCAUCGGACGACGAAGAAGAUAGCCAGACGCUAAUUGAGCAAAACGACAGGAAAUCCCAACCACUCCCUACUUCCUCUCCCCAGCGCCGAUCCUCCUCCACCACCUUAGACAUUGAGUCUCUUGGAGGUUCAAUACGUCGUCGUUUCUUCCGUGACUUCAAUAAGAGGUAUUACUACUUCUUGUUGGUCAUUUUUCUCCCUCUCUUAAUCGUCGUCGUUGUUUUCUCGGCCGAUGUAAGGAAUCUCUUCUCCGCCAAUAUUUCUGCUCUUAGGCUUGAUUCUGUUACUGACCGCAUGAGAGAGGCUGAGUUGCAAGCGCUUUACCUGCUGGGUCAGCAGCAAGUUUCUCUCUUUUCUCUCUUGAACCAGC